rnacentral:rRNA from 1 species
UGCUUACAACAUAGCUUUAAUACACUAUAUCCCAUUAGAAAUCUACAGUUAAGCGCGCUCAGGCUAGAGUAAUACUGAGAUGGGUGACUGCUCGGGAAGUCCUAGUAUUUUAUGUGC